UACGAAGGGGGCUAGCGUUGCUCGGAAUUACUGGGCGUAAAGGGCUCGUAGGUGGCCAACUAAGUCAGACGUGAAAUCCCUCAGCUUAACUGGGGAACUGCGUCUGAUACUGGAUGGCUUGAGUUUGGGAGAGGGAUGCGGAAUUCCAGGUGUAGCGGUGAAAUGCGUAGAUAUCUGGAGGAACACCGGUGGCGAAGGCGGCAUCCUGGACCAACACUGACACUGAGGAGCGAAAGCCAGGGGAGCAAACGGG
rnacentral:rRNA from 1 species